GGAGAAUGUGCAGAAUCUACUCUCUGCUGGGCUUCCAGUUCCUAGAGAAAAUUUUGUCUUCUGUUUUCUGCAAGGGGAAUCACCAUGGCUGCAAGAGGAAAAAAGCCCAAGGAGCGCCUGUCCAGAGACAGAGAUUAAUUUUGAAAUGAAGGAGAUGUCUACAAAGCUGAGCGUUUUGGUGGAAGGAUCUGGUCCACAAAGAUGCAUGAAUGAGGGUCUCUCUGAUUUCAUCUUGAGAGAAAUAUGUGACUCU